AGAAUGAACGCUGGCGGCGUGCUUUACACAUGCAAGUCGAGCGAGGCGGGGAGCAAUCCCCAGUCGAGCGGCGAACGGGUGAGUAACGCGUGGAUGACCUGCCCUUCAGCGGGGAAUAACCCGGGGAAACUCGGGCUAAUACCGCAUACGACCGAGAGGUGAAAGAGGGCUCGCAAGAGCUCUUACUGAAGGAGGGGUCCGCGUUCGAUUAGCUAGUUGGUAGGGUAAUGGCCUACCAAGGCGACGAUCGAUAGCCGGCCUGAGAGGGUGAUCGGCCACACUGGAACUGAGACACGGUCCAGACUCCUACGGGAGGCAGCAGUGGGGAAUUUGCGCAAUGGGCUAACGCCUGACGCAGCAACGCCGCGUGGAGGAUGAAGGUCUUUGGAUUGUAAACUCCUGUCAGCAGGAAAAAGCGAAGGACCUAAUACGUCCUUGAGUUGAUUGUACCUGCAGAGGAAGCCCCGCUAACUCUGUGCCAGCACGCCGC
rnacentral:rRNA from 1 species